AACGAACGCUGGCGGCAUGCCUAACACAUGCAAGUCGAACGAGACCUUCGGGUCUAGUUGCGCACGGGUGCGUAACGCGUGGGAACCUGCCCUUAGGUUCGGAAUAACUCACCGAAAGGGGUGCUAAUACCGGAUAAUGUCUUCGGACCAAAGAUUUAUCGCCUUUGGAUGGGCCCGCGUUGGGUUAGCUAGUUGGUAGGGUAAAAGCCUACUAAGGCGACGAUCCAUAGCUGGUCUGAGAGGAUGAUCAGCCACACUGGGACUGAGACACGGCCCAGACUCGUAAGGGAGGGAGCAGUGGGGAAUAUUGGACACUGGGCGAAAGCCUGAUCACGCAGUGCCGCGUGAGUGAUGAAGGCCUUAGGGUUGUAAAGCUCUUUUACCCGGGAUGAUAAUGACAGUACCGGGAGAAUAAGCUCCGGCUAACUCCGUG
rnacentral:rRNA from 1 species